CUACGGGGGGCUGCAGUGAGGAAUUUUGCGCAAUGGGGGGAACCCUGACGCAGCAACGCCGCGUGAGUGAUGAAGGCUUUCGGGUCGUAAAGCUCUGUCAAGUGGGAAGAACCUAUGCAGUGUUAAUAUCACUGUAUACUGACGGUACCACUGAAGGAAGCACCGGCUAACUCCGUGCCAGCAGCCGCGGUAAUACGGGGGGUGCAAGCGUUAUUCGGAAUCAUUGGGCGUAAAGGGCACGUAGGCGGCUUGGUAAGUCAGAUGUGAAAGCCCGGGGCUUAACCCCGGAAGUGCAUUUGAUACUGUCAGGCUUGAGUAUGGGAGAGGGAAGUGGAAUUCCUGGUGUAGAGGUGAAAUUCGUAGAUAUCAGGAGGAACACCGGUGGCGAAGGCGACUUCCUGGACCAAUACUGACGCUGAGGUGCGAAGGCGUGGGUAGCAAACAGGAUUAGAUGCCCUAGUAGUC
rnacentral:rRNA from 1 species